UACGAAGGGGGCUAGCGUUGCUCGGAAUCACUGGGCGUAAAGGGUGCGUAGGCGGGUCUUUAAGUCAGGGGUGAAAUCCUGGAGCUCAACUCCAGAACUGCCUUUGAUACUGAAGAUCUUGAGUUCGGGAGAGGUGAGUGGAACUGCGAGUGUAGAGGUGAAAUUCGUAGAUAUUGCAAGAACACCAGUGGCGAAGGCGGCUCACUGGCCCGAUACUGACGCUGAGGC
rnacentral:rRNA from 1 species